AUUAGUAUUGAUUUUGUAUUUAAAAAUUAGCUUUUUUGAUAAUUUUAUAUGUAAGGUUUUUUGCGUAGUAAAGUUGUCUAAAGGACAAAUUUGUUUUAUUUGCAGUUUUUAGGAUUAGUUUAUUAUAUAAAUAUAGAACUAGUUAAUUUAAUUAGAUUUGUUAAAAUUUGUGCCAGCAAACGCGGUUAUACAAUUAAUUCAAGUUAAUUUUUUUGGUUAUAUUAAUUUUUAUUUUUGGAAAUUUAAUUUUUAUUUAUUAAGUGAAAUUUUAAUUUUUUGUAUAAUUUCUUGGUUUAAGAAUAUAAGAAAAUUGGAACUAAAACUAGGAUUAGAUACCCUAUUAUUCUAAUUGUAAAUUUUUGACCAUAAUAUUAAUAGAUAUGAUCUUUAAAUUAAAAAAAUUUGGCGGUAAUUUAGUCCUUUCAGAGGAACCUGUCCUUUAAUCGAUAAUCCACGUUAUAUUUUACUUUAAUUUUUGUUUAUAUACCUCUGUCAUUGAAUGUUUUAUUAGAAUAUUUUCUUUUAUUAUUAAUUUAUAUAAUGUCAGGUCAAGGUGUAGCUAUAUUAAAGGUUGAGAUGGGUUACAUUUAAUGUUAAUUUAUUGAAUUAUAAUAUGUUAUUUAUUUUAUGAAAGAGGAUUUGAAAGUAAUUAUAAUUAUUUUAUUAUAAUGAUUUUGGCUCUAAAUUAUGUACAUAUCGCCCGUCGCUUUUAUUAUUAAGAUAAAAUAAGUCGUAACAAAGUAAUUUUACUGGAAAGUGUAGUUAGAAUUAUU
rnacentral:ncRNA from 1 species